rnacentral:rRNA from 1 species
CCCUUAGAUGUUCUGGGCCGCACGCGCGCUACACUGAUGCAUUCAACGAGUUUUUCCUUGGCCGAGAGGCCUGGGCAAUCUUUUGAACGUGCAUCGUGAUAGGGAUAGAUUAUUGCAAUUAUUAAUCUUGAACGAGGAAUUCCUAGUAAACGCAGAUCAUCAAUCUGCAUUGAUUACGUCCCUGCCCUUUGUACACACCGCCCGUCGCACCUACCGAUUGAAUGGUCCGGUGAAGCCUCGGGAUUGUGGGGAGUUCCCUUUAUUGGGAGUUUUUCGCGAGAACUUGUCUAAACCUUAUCAUUUAGAGGAAGGUGAAGUCGUAACA